UACGAAGGGGGCUAGCGUUGUUCGGAAUUACUGGGCGUAAAGGGCGCGUAGGCGGUGUGUCAAGUCAGGCGUGAAAGCCCCGGGCUCAACCUGGGAACCGCGCUUGAGACUGGCACGCUCGAGUUCGGGAGAGGAUGGUGGAAUUCCCAGUGUAGAGGUGAAAUUCGUAGAUAUCGGGAGGAACACCAGUGGCGAAGGCGGCGAUCUGGGUCGAUACUGACGCUGAGGUGCGAAAGCGUGGGGAGCGAACAGG
rnacentral:rRNA from 1 species